rnacentral:rRNA from 1 species
AUUGAACGCUGGCGGCAUGCCUUACACAUGCAAGUCGAACGGUAACGGGCCUCCGGGUGCCGACGAGUGGCGAACGGGUGAGUAAUGUAUCGGAACGUACCUUUCAGUGGGGGAUAACGUAGCGAAAGUUACGCUAAUACCGCCUAUUCUGUGAGCAGGAAAGCAGGGGAUCGCAAGACCUUGCGCUGAUUGAGCGGCCGAUAUCAGAUUAGCUAGUUGGUGAGGUAAAGGCUCACCAAGGCGACGAUCUGUAGCGGGUCUGAGAGGAUGAUCCGCCACACUGGAACUGAGACACGGUCCAGACUCCUACGGGAGGCAGCAGUGGGGAAUUUUGGACAAUGGGGGCAACCCUGAUCCAGCCAUGCCGCGUGAGUGAAGAAGGCCUUCGGGUUGUAAAGCUCUUUCGGCCGGGAAGAAAUCGUAUGGGUUAAUACCCUGUGCGGAUGACGGUACCGGCAUAAGAAGCACCGGCUAACUACGUGCCAGCCGCCGCCGUAAAAC